rnacentral:misc_RNA from 1 species
CUUGCGUGAGAGCGGUGCUUCUACAUCCAGCAGAAACGGUACCCGCGCCCCCUCAAGAGACGUACGUUGGUGAAGGAUAAGAGGCGCUCUGGCCGCGUUGCUCUUCGCCAUCGAUCCCACUCCCACCCCGUCACUGUCUGCUGCAGCUGUUCGCGCGCUUCUUUAGACUGCAGCCUUCUCCACCGCUGAACUGCACGAUUGCAGAGCUGGGCCACUUUGGAAAUCGACAGAAAGGUAGACAGCGCCGGUACAGCCAUCUUCCCUCUCACGUCAUCCAUCAACGAGGGUAUGCGACGGUGUGUUCAUCUCUGCGCAAAGGCGGCCGCGGGAGUGGGCAGCCCCAAGCACGCCGCUGCCGGCUCUUCCCCCGCGAGUGCUUCUUCCCUCGAUGCACGCACAAACGCCAUCUUUGAGAUGCGGCAGUCCCCCACGUCUCUCUACGUAGACUCGAUGCACAGCAACACGCUCACGGAUCACCCCCUCACGCAUCGCAGCAGCCGCGACGAGCUUGCGUACCGCAAGCGGAAGCUGACGGAGCGUGGGCAGUAUGAGCAGGCCGCAAAGGCGGAGGAGGAGGCGACCCAACGCGACCGCGAAGGCAAGGCUGGCGCAGAAACAAGGGAGUACUACUGGGCAAUACUCUGCGCUGUACUGGGCUACUUGGCCGCUCAUGCUCUUGUGUUCAACUACUAUUACCCAGAUGACCUUCGGCCCAACUACUCACCUGACCGCGGCUACUUUGACGACGUGGCGGCACGGAGGGAGGAGCUAGAGGCGGUAGACGAGAUGGUGGGCUUGUCGGUGCUGGAGAGCGUGUAUAGCAAGCGCAAGGCUGCCGUGAAGCGCCGGCUUGAGGGCAGCUAAGCUCACAUGUGAAAUGGGUUAGAAAGGAAGGCGUUAGAACGGCGGUGAUGCACCAUGCACUGAUGUCAGCUCAUACCGCAAGAGUGGUUGCUCGAAUGGGAUGAGAGCAGACCUCGUGUCUCCCGGACCUUAGCGCUUCCUGCCCUUGGUGUCCAGCGGCCAUGUGUCUCCUUGCGUGACGGUGCGCGAGGCUUGCGCGCGUGUCCUCCGUGAGUUUUCGUCUCCGCCGAUUUGGGCCUCAUCGAGGUGUCUGCCGCUUUUCUUCUCUCUCCCUUUCUCUUGUUGUCACCACCGCCUUCCUCUAAUGUGCUUCGCUCUCGCACAAACACCCGCAUGUCGCCAAGCACAAUUCGCCGCGCUUCCAGCGCGUGAGUGCCGGUCAGUGGUCUUGCGCAGCCUGCAGUGCUUCCCUCUCUGCUCUGUUUCUGUUUCCGGGUGGGCAUGCUGUUGCUUCUCCACACCACACGCAUUGCAGGCGAAGCCUUCUAGUCGCGUUACCGCUCUGUGAGGUUGGCCACUUCUCGACGCGGCCGCAGACGCUGCAGACGGGUGGGGGAGGGGAUGAAUGCUCCCUUUCCCCAUCCCACCUCGUGACUCUCCUGCAGUCUUGACACACGCACUCCUGCG